UCCCAAAAUAUUUUCAUUUCCCGCUUCUCCUCCUUCCCCUUCUCUGGUUCCCGCUUCUCUCUCCUUCCCCUCUCUGGUUCUCUAGUUCUCUGCUCAAUCCCCUUCUCUAGCUUCUAACAAGCCGUUGAUGUUCCCCCUACCACCGACGUUGUUCCCUUACCGUCGACGCUUCCUCUUCCAGCCGUGGGUUAAAAACCCUAAUUUGUAAUUGUAACCUGCUUGUUGAUGUUGAUUGAUGUUGGUUUGAGCAGUUGAGCUUCAUGAUUCAACCUCUAGUGAGCGUCGCUUCUCUUGCUACUCCUAUCAAUUUUUGUUUUACAUAUUCUUUCUAUGUAUUUGAAGUUUUAUUUUUCUAGGGUUUCUUUGUAUUUCAGACUCUAAAUUUUUAUAAUUUCUUUUUGGUUGAUAUUGUGGUGACAAAUUCGAUUGGGGGAGGAGAAGAGAAAUAUGAAGAUUUUGUAUUUUUUCCCCAUCAACCUUCAACAUCGAACUCGUAAGGAGAGGCGGUAUCUUGCUUGGAGCAGGCUGUAAAUAGCUUCCUUGAAAUGGAAAACUCAAUAUGUGUGCUAGAUUCUAUAAGAUGUCGAGAGUGAGCAGAUCAAAGAUAGUGGGAUGCCUUGGUUGUGGUUCAGUCAUACAAUCCCAGACGUAAAGUUCCGCAUAGCAGUAUCUCAAUAAGUGAUUUGGACCUUUGCUUAUCCAAAGCAUUGUUGCUGCUCAAAACUCUGCCUCAAUCCAAAUGCACGUGUCGGGUAUCAAGAUGGAUCAGUCGAUCAGAUCGAGCAAUUUGGUAUUCUAUUGAGCGUCUUUUGCGAAAAUAUUCCUCGAUAUAUGCCAUUAAGAUUUACGUGUAUUAUUGCAGGAAUCCUUCACGAUAGUGAAAUGUAUUUCCAGUUAGUGCCUGAAUGUAGUAUUUCCAGUCAGUGCAAUAUAAGAAUGAUGAAUAUCAAUGGUCAGAUUUGGAUUUGUAUCUUGAAGAGCCGGUCUUACCACAGAUGUAGAACUUCAGCGUGUUGCACUGGUGGGAAGAAAACGGGCUCAAGUAUCCUCAGCUUUCUUGGAUGGCUCGCAACUUCCUGGCCAUUCCUCUGUCUGUCACUCUGAUGCAUACUACACUGAGCGAAGGGGCUAUAAUUGGAGAUUGUUGUCUUUGAAACCUGAACUGACGAAUGCCUUGAAGUGCACUAGGAGCUGGAAAUUUGGUUAUGUAAGAAAUAAUAUAAGCUGCUCCGAGGCUCAAUUGAACUUUUAUGCGGCCGUUAUGAGAUCAUGAGUAGAGCUAGGACUCGGAGUUUUGAAGUAUAGUAUGUUGUAUUAUCAUGGUAAUUGUGGGAGAGUGCAGGUAGAGAAUGAUCAGAGUCUUCUGGUUUAUGGAACUUUUAAGUUAUUUUCUUGGCAAUGUGAACCAUAUGUGGAAGUAAGGACUUUUGUUGAUUUUCUUUUUAAUUGGUAGGAAAUCAACUACUUGUAUCUAUUUAGCUUACGUUUUUUGCAUCGGCAUUGUUGAGAAUGAUAUGGCUUGCCAAUGUUAGUUGAUAUUGAAGCUUAUUUUUGGUAUAAUUGUAAUGUAAUCGACUUUUAUAUUUACAAUUAUAUACUAUUCAAUUUAAUUAUA